UACGGAGGGGGCUAGCGUUGUUCGGAAUUACUGGGCGUAAAGCGCACGUAGGCGGCUUUGUAAGUUAGAGGUGAAAGCCCGGGGCUCAACUCCGGAAUUGCCUUUAAGACUGCAUCGCUAGAAUUAUGGAGAGGUAAGUGGAAUUCCGAGUGUAGAGGUGAAAUUCGUAGAUAUUCGGAAGAACACCAGUGGCGAAGGCGACUUACUGGACACAUAUUGACGCUGAGGCACGAAAGCGUGGGGAGCAAACAGG
rnacentral:rRNA from 1 species